AUUGAACGCUGGCGGCAUGCCUUACACAUGCAAGUCGAACGGUAACGCGGGGGCAACCCUGGCGACGAGUGGCGAACGGGUGAGUAAUACAUCGGAACAUAUCCAGUAGCGGGGGAUAACCUAUCGAAAGAUUGGCUAAUACCGCAUACGAUCUACGGAUGAAAGCGGGGGACCGCAAGGCCUCGCACUAUUGGAGUGGCCGAUGUCAGAUUAGCUAGUUGGUGGGGUAAAAGCCUACCAAGGCGACGAUCUGUAGCUGGUCUGAGAGGACGAUCAGCCACACUGGAACUGAGACACGGUCCAGACUCCUACGGGAGGCAGCAGUGGGGAAUUUUGGACAAUGGGCGCAAGCCUGAUCCAGCCAUGCCGCGUGAGUGAAGAAGGCCUCGGUGUAAGAUCUUCGUGAGAGAACGUAGACGCGUAAUAACGACUGACUAA
rnacentral:rRNA from 1 species